rnacentral:rRNA from 1 species
GAGAGGGAAAGAGCCCAGACCACCAGAUAAGGUCCCCAAAUUAUGAUUAAGUGUGAAAGGAUGUGGAAAUUCCUUAACAGCCGGGAGGUUGGCUUAGAAGCAGCCAUCCUUUAAAGAUAGCGUAACAGCUCACCGGUCUAAUAGAGUUUCUGCGCCGAAGAUGUAACGGGGCUAAAAUCAUAUACCGAAUCUGUGGGUUUAUAAAACUUUCGAGUUUUAUAAGCGGUAGCGGAACGUUCUGUAAGCCUGUGAAGGGAUACCCGUGAGGGAUCCUGGAGGUAUCAGAAGUGCGAAUGCUGACAUAAGUAACGAUAAAAGAAGUGAAAAACUUCUUCGCCGAAAAUCCAAGGGUUUCUGCGCAAGGUUAAUCCGCGCAGAGUUAGUCGGCACCUAAGGCGAGGGCGAAAGCCGUAGUCGAUGGAAAUAAGGUUAAUAUUCCUUAACCAGAUGGUAGUGACGGAUCUUGUAAGUUGUGUACUCUUAAUGGAUUGAGUAUGCCGCGAAAAGGUUCCAAGAAAUAGCUCCAUCAUUAGACCGUACCCUAAACCGACACAGGUGGAUUAAUAGAGUAUAUUUAGGCGCUUGAGAGAAUGAUGUUGAAGGAACUCGGCAAAAUGCUUCCGUAACUUCGGGAUAAGGAAGACCUGUUUUUAGGCAACUAGAAAUGGGUGGCACAAGCCAGGGAGAAGCGACUGUUUAUCAAAAACACAGGGCUCUGCUAACACGUAAGUGGAUGUAUAGGGUCUGACGCCUGCCCGGUGCUGGAAGGUUAAUGCGGUUGGUGCAAGCUAACUUCUGAAGCCCCAGUAAACGGCGGCCGUAACUAUAACGGUCCUAAGGUAGCGAAAUUCCUUGUCGGGUAAGUUCCGACCUGCAUGAAUGGCGUAACGAUUUCUCCGCUGUCUCCAACAUCAACUCAGUGAAAUUGAAUUCUCCGUGAGAUGCGGAGUUCGCGUAGUUAGACGGAAAGACCCCGUGCACCUUUACUGCAACUUUACAUUGGUAUUAGGAAAAACAUAUUUAGUAUAGGAGGGAGACAUUGAAGCAAAGGCGUCAGCUUUUGUGGAGUCAACAGUGAAAUACCUCUUUUGUUUUUCUUGGUAUCUAACUGAUUGCCGUUAUCCGGCAUCAAGACAUUGUAUGGUGGGUAGUUUGACUGGGGCGGUCGCCUCCCAAAUAGUAACGGAGGCGUGCGAAGGUAGGCUCAGAACGGUCAGAAAUCGUUCGUAGAGUGCAAUGGCAUAAGCCUGCC